ACUGUUAAGCCUGCUCUAGGAGUUGGGGUGCAGAUGACUAUCAGACUCUCAAAUUUAGCUUUACCCCCUUAGAUUUAGUUCCUGGCAGGCUUCUGCUGAAGUCUUGGAAAGAAAAAUUCAUUAGAUGAACCUUAGCGUGAUUUUUCCAUGGCUUUGAUUUUAAUCAAAGUGCGGAUUUGAAAUUGUUUUAUCAUUAGAAUCUGUUGACUGAACGUCAGUGCGAAGCAAUUCCCCCCUCCUGGUGCAGAGAUGCAUCCUGUGUGUUUAGGUAAAUCCCAGCCCGAGCGAGCGGAACAGCGGGAAGGGCAGAAAUCAGCCUCUGAGGCUUGUGAACGCGCUGCAGGCUGAUGUCUUCCUGCGUUUCAAGGACCCAAGUUCAAUUGCAAGGCGGUUAUUCUGCUUAUCCGUAAUGGGCAAACCAAUCAAUUAAAAUGGUCCGUUCCUAAGCAGCUGCAGAAGGGAAGGCUUGUUUUGAAUACCUCCCUUACGAGGUCUGAAUGAUGUGAUUUAAACAUAACAUCCUUUUAUCUCCAAAUCUGCAGAAUCAAGGCAGUGUGUUUUACCCAGGUACCUGGGAGCGCAGGGAAGAGAGAAAUUCAGGGGAAGCUCUUUAGUAGGUUACUAAGGAGUGGUUUUGCAUAAGGUGAUGGAGUUGGUUGUCUCCGAAGACCAAUUUACACAAGCCCCAGCGACUGCAGCGAGUCUGUAACUCCCAAACCUCUGGGCUGUGGCUCAGCAUCCGAACAGGAGAUGCUGCAGGGAGCGGGAAGGGAGCUGGAGGAGGGUCGGCUGCGCCUGAUGAACCUGUUCUACCCAAAGAAUAUGAAGCCUGCAUGUUUAAGAGCUUGUGUGCCUGUAUUCUCUAUAACGCUUCAGAUCCACCCUGGGUGUAUGCAUUUGAAUUUUAAAGGGUUUUGCUUUCCAGGUCAAUGCGGUGCCUAACUCAGACCCAACUUCCUUGUGAAUGAAAAAUAAAGUAUAUCUAGUAAGGUCGUCUGCGUGCUGCUUUGGUUGAGGCUGUUGGGCUACGCUGACCGCAGCAGCAUCCUCCAGGUGAGGACAGAGUUUAGCUCCUGAGGCUGCAGGUAACCCCCCUGCACGGCCAAAACCCACCGCGUGACAGACGGCAAUUUUCUUUGCUUGCGGGAAGGACGAGGUCAGAGCGUCCUGUCCCCAGGACUGGUAUAAAUAGAGAGUAAUUGGGCUGGAAUUGGUGGUUGCAGUGAUGUAAGGAGUGGUGUAAGGCAGAGGUGAAGCCAGACCCUAAUGACAGCUUCUGCCUGCUCGCUGAAUUCUGCAUAGAGAUCAGCACUUCCAGCAACAAAAGAAAGUAGGUCAGUGGCAGGUCCCCCUCCCCGCCUGCGCGCUGGAAGCACAUGUGUUGGAUUACACGCCUGCAGAUUGAAGCAGGAGUGACUGUGAUGAUUUUUCUUUUCCUUUGGGAAGGUGCAUGUAAAAGCAAUUUGGUGCUUUACGACGUGCUGGUGCAGUCGCUCUCGCCAUGUGGUUUUUCCUGGAGCUGCCGCAUCCCUGAUGCUUGGGGAGCUGGGGGACCUGUUUGCAUGUGAAUAUUGGGGGGAGGGGGGGGGAGAGCUGCACCCGUUCCCCAGCAGCUCAUCUGUGGUUUGGGGAGGGUGUGAGGCUGGUGGUGGCACUCGGGUGUUCUCCCAGUCCCUGCCCAUCCCCUGGUACCCUGCUCCUCUGCCUUUCCUUGUCUUGCCGCAGCCGCGCAACUCCAGUUCCACUCGAACGAUUACCCGACACGUUAAUUGGGACUCCCGCUAUGAUUAAAAAGAAAUUUCAGAUUAAGCCUGCCAUGCUGUAUAGCUCAGGAAGAAAACAUCUCUUUAUAAACACAGCAGGAAUGUGGGGACUCCAUUAUUAUUAUUUUCUUUUAACUUUGAAGAAACUGGCUCUCACUGCUGUUUUGACCACAAGGAGACAAGUGCGGCAGUCGCUCUGCUAUGGUCAAAGCUAAGCGGAAGGGAUGCUUGCAGGGAGAUAAAAUUGCAGGGUGUUUUUUCUUCUUUUUUUUUCCUUAAUGUGAUAAUCAUAAUGGAUUUAUCUCUGCAGACUUCAGAUCCUGUCUACCUGGGUCCCUGCAGGCUCCACCACUCUUGGGCAGAGCUCAGAGGAACUUGUAGGCUGGACAAACCAGGAAGGAGCUGCUGUCAAUCCCGUUCUGCUGAGCUCCUGCCCAACAGGGAGCCACAGGGAUUCUCACCCUGCCCGUCACACAGCGUGGACCACUCCAGCCCUUCCACAGCAGGAGAUAAGUGUGGACGUUCAAUACCCGGAGCAUGAAACGCUGCAUGUCUGCGGCUCCCGGUUUUGCCUUCACUCUGCGCUGGACUGGCUGAGUCGGUAGGCGAGGGCAGUGAUAGAUUAUCCCCCACUCCCUCUAUUUUUUUUCCCUUUAAAUUUACCUUUUGGUGUUGCAGCUGAAGCAGCAUGAGGUGAGUAAACUCCGCUGCUCAAAAUAAGAGUGGAUAAGCUCAGUUUACUUGUAUUUAUUCAUGACUUCCCCACUCCACUGGGGCCUGAAAAUCAGAGCCAAAAGGAACUGCAGUGAAAAUUGGCCUACAUGCAAUGGCUUUAAAUAAUCUGCCCUUUUGCUCUAGUUCUGUGUCGAGAUGUGCUGGAAGCCUGAGGAGCUGGGAUUUGACUUGAUGUAGGAGCUGCUUUUUGUUUUCUUGCUCUGGUGUUCGAAGCUGCUGUUGGUUUUCUGUAUAUAGUGUAACUUGGGGGAAGUUACACAGCAGGAGGGAAGAAAAAAUCUAUUUGAGAAUUGCUGUGUUUAGUGCAUGACUUCAAAUUAUCAGAAUCGGCACAGACAAUGAAUUAGCUUUUAUUUCCAAAGAUGUGAAAAAUAAGAAAGAGAGCAAAAAGAAAUAAAGUGAUUAGUGCGUGUGUUGCAAAUAUUGGCACGCAGGGAAAGGGUAUUAUAUCGGACUAAAAAACAUAAUUCUGCUGUUAAUAGUGAAUUCUUGUUUGCACUUGUGUUUGUGCCGACUGUUAAGGCAAAUAUGAUUCCCAGAUGCCGCAUGGCACAUGCACGUGUCUGACACUCGCACCCGUCGGGGAAGAAGUCACGCAAGCCAGCGGAGAGCCGGGUGUGCGGGAUGAGGCUCAGCCUCAGCAUCCGAGCAGAAAUAGAAAUGGAUCCAUCUGCAAACCAGGGGAAAAGGAGUAACAUCGGAGCAGCGUACAGCUGCCGGUGCCAUCCUGCCCACGAGUCCUCGCCUUGCACUCGACUUGUAAUAAUCUGAAAAACAAGAGUGGAAGUGGAGUUCAUCUCUAAUUACUCCAUGUCAUUAUCACCAGCUAAUCCAUGAGCCUGGACCCCUUGGGCUUUUACAGUCCCUCUUUUCAGCGCCUACAGCUGAAUACAAGUGGAAGGCAAAAAAACCCCUCACUGUUUUCUUGUUAAUUGUGUUUGAAAUAUAACUCUGUGGUUACCGUUGCCUUUUGCCUGGUGUGGAGAUCUAUUACCAUACAGUUAACAGAAGGUGACCCAUCCAUCUGGACCCAUCCUUUCAACACAAAGUUGUCACAUUUUUAGAUGAACUGGGUUAUUCAGACUCUCCAUAAAUCACCAGUAAGAGGCAGUCAUCUCUGACUGGGCUGUUAAUUAAACAAAAAAUAGCAUUGCAAGCCAAAGUGUUGGACCAAGCCUUGGCUGUGCUGAGAAGGGGGGAACUUCCUCCAGGCGCUGCCCUUCAGGAAUUAAACACCGGCUACCAGGAGGGAUGUCUCAUUCCUGCAUGGCUGCCAGAAAGGGGCUGUAAGUCAGGAACGUUUAGUUUGCAACAACUCCUACGGCUGUGUAGGAAAAAAAGAACGUUCUCCAAGUCACCGCCGUAGCAUUUUGGCUUUGCUGUCAUGCCUUUGCAAUGAGAGAAGGGCUGUGCUGGUGGGAGCAUCGUGCCAGCGCUGACUACCGAGAGCUCCCUGCCAAAACUGGAGCCCUCGCUGCAACUCGCCAUGCGAGCUCAGCCUGGGAAACAGCGGUAUCUUGAGAAUACUGUGAUUAUCUGAGUGCCAGAUAACAAUGGUGAAGAUAAAGCUACAUUUGCUGAUACAUUCUGCUGGGUUUUUUUACUCAUGGAUGUACUUCGCCAAGGUGGGAUGGUUUCACGUUCCUCGUCUUACCUCGGUGACACUGAAGCACAAAGCCUUCUGUAGGUCUUAUGUUUAUUAGUAAAAUCCUGCCAGGCACAAGCACUGUGACGAUCUCCCACAUGCAGAGUCUGUUAUUGCAAAUACCAAAUCACAAGGGCCUGAAUCAAUAAACCAUCUCCCAGCUAUAAGCAGCAGGUUGGAAGAUUACAUAUUGCUUCCAAACAACGGUUUUAUGCGCUCUUCCGUGACACGACAGUUGCCAGGCUAACGGGAUUACUGACGAGAGGUGGAGCCGGGCAGGGAUCUCGGAGCAGACACGAUUUCACGUCUAGGGACAGCGAUGACAGGCGGCUGUUAGCAAUGUGUGGCAAUGGAUGAAGGCAGCUUGGGUCUCUCCCUGGAGCACGGCCAAGGUAGAGGCUCCUGUCGAAAGGGAGCGCGGUGUUUAGCGGCUCCCUGCCUGCAGCGAUAACUCGGGAGGUAAAGGUCAGAGGGAACUGAGUCCAUCUCUUUAAUUAACAGGCAUUCGUGAGUUAAUAGCUGGAGUUCCCAUGGAGAGGGAGACGUGACUCCUGCGGUUGUGGAUGGUGGUGGGGAUAGGCCGGUGUGCUACUGGUUCUCAGCUUCCCAAGAGUAAGACAGCAGGAAGAAAGGGCAGGGAUGUGUCUCUACCUAUGUGCUGUGACACAGGGGUAAGGAGAAGUGGGAUAUAGA